UACGGAGGAUGCGAGCGUUAUCCGGAUUUAUUGGGUUUAAAGGGUGCGUAGGCGGGAUGCCAAGUCAGCGGUAAAAAUGCGGUGCUCAACGCCGUCGAGCCGUUGAAGCUGGCGUUCUUGAGUGGGCGAGAAGUAUGCGGAAUGCGUGGUGUAGCGGUGAAAUGCAUAGAUAUCACGCAGAACUCCGAUUGCGAAGGCGGCAUACCGGCGCCCUACUGACGCUGAGGCACGAAAGCGUGGGUAUCGAACAGG
rnacentral:rRNA from 1 species